UACGUAGGCAGCAAGCGUUGUUCGGAGUUACUGGGCGUAAAGGGUGCGUAGGCGGUUGUUUAAGUUUGGUGUGAAAUCUCCCGGCUCAACUGGGAGGGUGCGCCCGAAUACUGAAUGACUAGAGUGCGGGAGAGGAGAGUGGAAUUCCUGGUGUAGCGGUGAAAUGCGUAGAUAUCAGGAGGAACACCGGUGGUGUAGACGGCUCUCUGGACCGUAACUGACGCUGAGGCACGAAAGCGUGGGUAGCAAACAGG
rnacentral:rRNA from 1 species